GAAAUUUUCUAAAAGGAAUAAAGUUAGUUGAGGUCAUACCGAACAGUCUGUCGUGUCAAUUUUAUUUUUUUGGAACAAUUUUCCUUCUCUUAACUCUUUCUUGUUAGAUCUAUAGAAUUGUCCAGAUAGUGGCAUCUACUAAGAAACAUGAAUAAGAAUAUGUUAGUUUCUUUUCUAAAAAGCUUAAUAAGGGGGCCAAUGUUACUUCUCUCUACUUCAGAAGUUUCAAAAUAGG
rnacentral:lncRNA from 1 species